rnacentral:lncRNA from 1 species
AGACACUUGGCUGAGUCCAAAGUCAUGGUUCAGGGAAGCGCUUUCCACCUGUAUGAGGUCAAAGCAAAACUCACAUGGCCAACCCAGCAUCAGUGGAAGAGAUGUCUCUGAGAACCUCUCAAUAGCAGAAUCUAAAUGGAACCUUGCUGGCACGGAAGUCUGGGGCUUUCCACCCUUGCAAUAUGGAGAAGUGCUUAGAAGGCAGGAAUGGUACUGAGUUUCAACAAAGAAUGACACAAUGACCAUGGAGAAAAAUAAGGUCCCAAGAACUGGACUUCUUUUCAGAAUGUCUCAAACCAAAUGAACUAAUUAUAACCAAACGUAAACUCAAUUCUAUAGUUCUAGAUGGGUGAAUGUGGG